ACACGCAAGUCGAGGGGCAGCAUGAUUGAAGCUUGCUUCAAUUGAUGGCGACCGGCGCACGGGUGAGUAACGCGUAUCCAACCUUCCGUACACUCAGGGAUAGCCUUUCGAAAGAAAGAUUAAUACCCGAUGGUAUGAUGAGAUUGCAUGAUAGCAUCAUUAAAGAUUUAUCGGUGUACGAUGGGGAUGCGUUCCAUUAGGUAGUAGGCGGGGUAACGGCCCACCUAGCCGACGAUGGAUAGGGGUUCUGAGAGGAAGGUCCCCCACAUUGGAACUGAGACACGGUCCAAACUCCUACGGGAGGCAGCAGUGAGGAAUAUUGGUCAAUGGACGAGAGUCUGAACCAGCCAAGUAGCGUGAAGGAUGAAGGUCCUACGGAUUGUAAACUUCUUUUAUAAGGGAAUAAAACCUCCCACGUGUGGGAGCUUGUAUGUACCUUAUGAAUAAGCAUCGGCUAACUCCGUGCCAGCAGCCGCGGUAAUACGGAGGAUGCGAGCGUUAUCCGGAUUUAUUGGGUUUAAAGGGAGCGCAGACGGGUCGUUAAGUCAGCUGUGAAAGUUUGGGGCUCAACCUUAAAAUUGCAGUUGAUACUGGCGUCCUUGAGUGCGGUUGAGGUGUGCGGAAUUCGUGGUGUAGCGGUGAAAUGCUUAGAUAUCACGAAGAACUCCGAUUGCGAAGGCAGCACACUAAGCCGUAACUGACGUUCAUGCUCGAAAGUGUGGGUAUCAAACAGGAUUAGAUACCCUGGUAGUCCACACGGUAAACGAUGGAUACUCGCUGUUGGCGAUAUACAGUCAGCGGCUUAGCGAAAGCGUUAAGUAUCCCACCUGGG
rnacentral:rRNA from 1 species